GACAUUUUAGAGCUGGAGAAACUGGAGGUGCUUCCUUCCCUCAUGGAACUGUCUGUAGUGGGCAACCCAGUGAGUCACACACACACACACACACACACANACACACACACACACACACACACACACACACACACACACACACACACACACACACACACACACACACACACACACACACAAUGCUCUAGAUGAAGAGAUUUCAAAAUUGAGACCUUGGCUGAACUGCAAACUAACCAUGAUUACAGACAAAUCCUUACACACACUCACUCUCCGGUUCUGAAUAAAUACAGUAUGUUUUGUCCUCUUUAGUUGGCUGAAAAUCCCUUUAAUUAGACAUUAUAUUCUGCCCUAUGACUUACCAAGUGUGUGUGUUGCAGGUGGCUCGGCGGUCACUGCACAGGCCAGCAGUUGUACUGCAUCUGUCUACACUCCAGGUUCUGGAUGGCACGACAGUCACCCUGGAAGAAAGAACAAGAGCAGAGAUUUUAAAUAAUGAAGCACAGGGUUCUAGUUCAGGUGGUGAAGUGACUUUACCCGGUUUGGUACCAUUGGUGACCCGACCGGCUCCUUUAAGAGGUGCAGGAAUGCACUCACUCGUACCUGAUCAGCAAGACGACACACAUGAUACCAGCAGAUAUAGGAAGCAGAAAGCAGUUGCCUCUCUCUUGCGUGGAGUUCAGAGUGACUUCAACUUCAGGCAGAUCAGAGGAUCUUCCAGCCACUACAUGACAGCGCUGCAGCAGAGCGGAUACAGAGUUCUCUCCACUUUCCCUAACGCUGAUCCUGAGACCAGGUACAAGUGUCACAGUGUACCCAGACCUCCUCCUCCUCCUCCUCCUCCUCUGUAACACAAAGUCAUAGAUGCACUAUGUGUGUCAUGAAUUUCAGCUUUGGUCUUGUAUGUUGUUGUUCAUCUUUGAAUCUUAGAUAAGACUUAAAUCUUUAAAUUUAUUUAUUUGGAAUUGUGUCAAUAUCAAAAGAUAUUAAAUGUAUAUUUUCUAUUCAAGACUUUGAGUGGUGUCCUUUAUCUUAAGUCUUUGUCCUUGCAACAUUCUCACUUUCCAUGAGGUUUGGUUUUAUUUUUUAAAAAAUGUAUUUGAUAGUUAUGAAGUCACUUCAAAUAUAAAAGUAUAUACAAAACAUUUGUCAAAAAAAAUCUUUCUUGGAAACUCAAAUGUUUUGGCCUGUAGUUGCAAAAUUUGUCCAUUGAGGGGUCCCAGAGGGCUUGUUUGGUUUUUAAUUUAUUGUGGAACUUGGUUGGAACAUAUAAACAUUAAAAUUUAACAGUGCUAAAAAAAUUUAAUUGUGAUAUCUGUUCUCAGUUUUACUUUUAUAAUAAUAAUAAUUAUUAUUAUUUGUUUUAAUGUAUUCUAUAGAUAAUAAAAAAAUUAUUAGUUGUUAUUGUUGUUGUUGU
ensembl:lncRNA